AUUUGCCAUGCAUUGUGCCAAAUCACGCAAUAGUUUUUGCAAAGCCAGGGACUGUACAGAAAUCACCAAACUCAUGUCACUUGUGAGCUGCAGUACAAUAACAUGUUAGCUUUAAGUAGGUUACAGUCGCAGUCUUGUGAGAUGAGAAUGAAUACUUUGGAACUCUGACCUGCAAAUCUCAAAAAUUAUGGGGAGGUAUGAGAAAAGACCAUUUCACAUACCUCAAGUUUUUUAAUACAUAUAUUAAAUUAUUCUUAUAAAUGUGAACCACAAAAUGUGAGUAUUAUGCAUAAAUAAAUACAGAAACGUACGCAUACAGAUCUACACUCACACAUACAUAUGUUGUGACUUUCUCCUCUUUUCCCUUGCCUUGAACUUCCUCCUUUAAUGUGCCCUAAUGGUGGAGUGACAGUCAUCAGAUCUAAAGAAAUUUAGUGCUGUGUGAAACCUUGGAAUAGUGACGUCUGUUGUAUUUGGACAGUUUUGUUUGUCUACUGGGAAAUUGCAUGAACUUCCCAAUUUUUAUUUUUUUUUCAAGUUUGCAUUGCCCUCCUCCUCCCCACCCAAGGCAGGGUAGCUUCAGGAGAAAUGGCUGCUUUCUUGCUUUCUGGUGUGGUGUAAAGUUUUCCGUCGAGAGACAAUAAUGUACAUUCCUCUGGCAGGACGGGAUGGAUUUUUUUGUUUCUCUUGCUGUUGUUUAUUUAUAAGACAUUUCCUCUUGCUUAGUGGAAGUUUGAUCGUAAGAGGCUCCAGUGAUUUUCCUUCCCACCUCUCCCCUCCCUAAUUUCUCUGCCUCGGCACUCGCUCUGGAACAGAGCGAACUCAAAAAGCCCAUCGGCGCAGGGCGCGCUUCCGAUCUGAACUCAAAAAGCCCAUCGGCGCAGGGCGCGCUUCGCAGCCAAGCCCUGCCACUCUCCAGAGACUGUGAGGUGAUUCUCCUUCGUCACUGCUUGGACCAGGAACCACAGCCCUGCAGUGGUUGGCAGUUUUCCUCAACUUUGCGAGAGAGAGAGAGAUUUUGUUGGAAUGAAACCUUGCUCUGCGUACAGCCUGCUUGAGAUGCAGCACUGAAAGAUCACUCACAAUCAGUUUGCGGCUUUUCUCUGGAGAAACCUUUCCUUGCAUCUUUUGUAAGUAUUUAUAACAUUUUAUACUUUUCAUUGAUAUAAGUUGUGCCUUUUCUUCAAGUUCCAUCAAAGUCAGCCUGGGGCCUCUGUUGC
rnacentral:lncRNA from 1 species